rnacentral:rRNA from 1 species
UGUGUAUCAGUACAUGGCAUAUCAAUAAGCGGAGGAAAAGAAACUAACAAGGAUUCCCCUAGUAACGGCGAGUGAAGCGGGAAGAGCUCAAAUUUGAAAUCUUAAAGGGUUUCCCUUUACGAAUUGUAGUUUAAAGAAGUGUUUUCUGUUGGAGUUUCGGUAAAAGUUCUUUGGAAUAGGACAUCAUAGAGGGUGAGAAUCCCGUAUUUGACCGUUACUUUCCAGCUGUGUGAUACACUUUCAAAGAGUCGGAUUGUUUGGGAAUGCAGUCCAAAAUGGGUGGUAAAUUUCAUCUAAAGCUAAAUAUUGGCGAGAGACCGAUAGCGAACAAGUACCGUGAGGGAAAGAUGAAAAGAACUUUGAAAAGAGAGUUAAACAGUACGUGAAAUUGUCAAAAGGGAAGCGUUUGACACCAGUGUUGUUUAGUUGAAAAUCAAUUCAAUAAUUUUUGAUUUUAAGUAGUAUUGACUUCAUCAGCUUGCUGCUUUCUUUUCAGAAAUUAUUGAAUGCACUUUUCAGUUAACAAGUCAACAUCAAUUUCUUUUGUUGUAAAAGGGUAAGAGGAAGGUGGCUUACGCUUCGGCGUAAGUGUUCAUAGCCUUUUACCUCUGCAAUCGGAGAGAUUGAGGUCUGCAGCGUAGAUCCUUCGGGGUUAGAUACACUUGUGCUAAGCUAUAGCCUUGUAUAGACAACUUGUUGACUAUGCUCAGUCAUGUAGCUUACUCGCUUGUGCUAUUUUACCUACGCUUAGGAUGUUGACAGCAGUAUAGACUGU